rnacentral:tRNA from 1 species
AGUUUUAUAGUCAAUUAAUGAUAUUAGAUUGCAAUUCUAAAGGAGUGAUAUAAAAAUGUUACUAAAGCUU